rnacentral:rRNA from 1 species
UACGUAGGGCGCGAGCGUUGUCCGGAAUUAUUGGGCGUAAAGAGCUCGUAGGCGGCCUGUCGCGUCCGCUGUGAAAUCCCGGGGCUCAACCCCGGGUGUGCAGUGGAUACGGGCUGGCUGGAGGCAGGCAGGGGAGAACGGAAUUUCUGGUGUAGCGGUGAAAUGCGCAGAUAUCAGGAGGAACACCGGUGGCGAAGGCGGUUCUCUGGGCCUGUUCUGACGCUGAGGAGCGAAAGCGUGGGGAGCGAACAGG